AGUGAACGCUGGCGGUAGGCCUAACACAUGCCAGUCGAACGGCAGCACAGUAAGAGCUUGCUCUUACGGGUGGCGAGUGGCGGACGGGUGAGGAAUACAUCGGAAUCUACUUUUUCGUGGGGGAUAACGUAGGGAAACUUACGCUAAUACCGCAUACGACCUACGGGUGAAAGCAGGGGAUCUUCGGACCUUGCGCGAUUGAAUGAGCCGAUGUCGGAUUAGCUAGUUGGCGGGGUAAAGGCCCACCAAGGCGACGAUCCGUAGCUGGUCUGAGAGGAUGAUCAGCCACACUGGAACUGAGACACGGUCUAGACUCCUACGGGAGGCAGCAGUGGGGAAUAUUGGACAAUGGGCGCAAGCCUGAUCCAGCCAUACCGCGUGGGUGAAGAAGGCCUUCGGGUUGUAAAGCCCUUUUGUUGGGAAAGAAAAGCAGCAGGUUAAUACCCCGCUGUUCUGACGGUACCCAAAGAAUAAGCACCGGCUAACUUCGUG
rnacentral:rRNA from 1 species